rnacentral:rRNA from 1 species
GAUGAACGCUGGCGGCGUGCCUAAUACAUGCAAGUCGAGCGAAUGGAUUAAGAGCUUGCUCUUAUGAAGUUAGCGGCGGACGUGUGAGUAACACGUGGGUAACCUGCCCAUAAGACUGGGAUAACUCCGGGAAACCGGGGCUAAUACCGGAUAAUAUUUUGAACUGCAUGGUUCAAAAUUGAAAGGCGGCUUCGGCUGUCACUUAUGGAUGGACCCGCGUCGCAUUAGCUAGUUGGUGAGGUAACGGCUCACCAAGGCAACGAUGCGUAGCCGACCUGAGAGGGUGCUCGGCCCGACUGGGACUGAGACACGGCCCAGACUCCUACGGGAGGCAGCAGUAGGGAAUCUUCCGCAAUGGACGAAAGUCUGACGGAGCCACGCCGCGUGAGUGAUGAAGGCUUUCGGGUCGUAAAACUCUGUUGUUAGGGAAGAACAAGUGCUAGUUGAAUAAGCUGGCACCUUGACGGUACCUAACCAGAAAGCCACGGCUAACUACGUGCCAGCCGCCGCCGUAA